UACGUAGGGUGCGAGCGUUAAUCGGAAUUACUGGGCGUAAAGCGUGCGCAGGCGGUUUUGUAAGACAGAUGUGAAAUCCCCGGGCUUAACCUGGGAACUGCAUUCGAUACUGGGCGGCUAGAGUAUGAAAGAGGGAGGUAGAAUUCCACGUGUAGCGGUGAAAUGCGUAGAUAUGUGGAGGAAUACCGGUGGCGAAGGCGGCCUCCUGGUUCAAUACUGACGCUGAGGUGCGAAAGCGUGGGGAGCAAACAGG
rnacentral:rRNA from 1 species